UACGUAGGGCGCAAGCGUUUGUCCGGAAUUAUUGGGCGUAAAGAGCUCGUAGGCGGCUUGUCGCGUCGAUUGUGAAAGCCCGGGGCUUUAACUCCGGGUCUGCAGUCGAUACGGGCAGGCUAGAGUGUGGUAGGGGAGAUCGGAAUUCCUGGUGUAGCGGUGAAAUGCGCAGAUAUCAGGAGGAACACCGGUGGCGAAGGCGGAUCUCUGGGCCAUUACUGACGCUGAGGAGCGAAAGCGUGGGGAGCGAACAGG
rnacentral:rRNA from 1 species